rnacentral:lncRNA from 1 species
UUUUGUACAAAAAUUCCACUUUAAGUCUUCUAUAUGCUCCAAAAAAUUCAAUCUAAUUUAUAGAUUGUGAGAAAAAGCUCAAAAACUACAUUAAUAAUACUUGGCUGCCAACUUGAAAGUUAAUGCAGAUGUCUUAGUAGUGAUUUCUCCUUUUUCAAUUGUUAAUUUUAAUUCGAAAUUUGUAAGUAGAUAAACAUUGAAGUCUUCUAAGACUAUGCCAAAUUUCACCUUGAUUCAAUUAGUAAAUCUUUAGAUAUCAUAGAAAUCCUAUCCAACUUCAAACUGCCAACUUGUAAUACCUUCUUGUACAAAAUCCAGAUAUCUCUCAAUUUCUUACUUAAAACAACAAAAAAAUUUACACACAUUUAGCACACUCAAUCAACCAAGCAUGAUCAAAUUUUUAAUCAUAGAUGUGACAUCAAUUGCACAAACUAGCUAAGAGUGCAAGCCCUAAUUGUUUUACAUUAAUCCCAAUUCACUUAUAUAAAUCUUGAUUUUUGAACAAUAAUUGCAAAGUCAUUCCAAAU